rfam:Oryza nivara chromosome 1, whole genome shotgun sequence.
AAAAAGACAAACUCUGGAUUUUCGUGUCCAACUUUGACUGUCCGUCUUAUAUGAAAUUUUUUUAUAAUUCGUAUCUUCAUUGUUAUUAGAUGAUAAAACAUGAUUAAUAUUUUAUGCUUGACUUGUCUUUUUAAUUUUUUUAUAAUUUUUUUAAAUAAGACGAACGGUUAAACGUUGGACACGAAAACUAGGGUUUAUCUUUUU